CUUGGAAUGAUGAUAAAACAUAUUGUGAAUUCAAAGGGAGGAAAAUGGCCACUUUAAAAAAUCAGAAUGAACAGGAUCAAAUUGAACGAUUAAUGAUUACAAAUGGUUUGGCAAAUGAAAACGUUUGGCUUGGACUUUCAGACAUAAAGGAAGAAGGAUUUUUUAAAUGGGAAGAUGGAACAGACCUGAAGUACACAAAAUUUGAAAACUGGAAACCAGGGGAGCCAAACGAUUUUCAUUACUGGAGAAAAAAUCCAUUAAACCUUGAGCAUUGUGUGCAAGCCAAUGGGAAGGACAAUUUUUGGCCGGGAAGUAACAAGUUUCAAUGGAAUGAUAUGCCUUGUGAUCAGUCAAAUAAUAUCCCUGGUGACCAUUUAAGUUACAUUCUCUGUGAAAAUAUAGAAUGUGCAGAGUAAACUCAUAUACAUGAUUAAAGUUUUACAAUGCAUUAUGUUGCACUGGACAGGAUACAUUUGUUUUAGUGUCAAUAAACUCCUCUUGUUCUGUUUUA